GAUGAACGCUGGCGGCGUGCCUAAUACAUGCAAGUCGAGCGAACAGACCAGGAGCUUGCUCCACUGACGUUGGCGGCGGACGGGUGAGUCACACGUGGAUAACCUACCUCUAAGACUGGGAUAACUUCGGGAAACGGGAGCUACUACCGGAAAAUAUAUUGAACUGCAUGGGUCAAUAGUGUAAGACGGUUUUGCUGUCACUUAUAGAUGGAUCCGCCCCGCAUUAGCUAGUUGGCAAGGUAACGGCUUACCAAGGCAACGAUGCGUAGCCGACCCGAGCGCGUGAAGGGGCACACUGGAAGUGAGACACGGUCCAGACACCGAGAGGAGGCAGCGGCAGGGAAUCUUCCGCGAUGGGGGAAAGCCUGACGGAGCAACGCCGGCUGAAUGAUGAAGGUCUUCGGACCGGAAAACGCUGUUAGUAGGGAAAAACAAAUGUGUUAGUAACGAUGCACGUCUUGACGGUACCUGGUCAGAAAGCCACGGCUAACUACGUG
rnacentral:rRNA from 1 species